AAGGAUCAUUACAGAGUUCAUGCCCUCACGGGUAGAUCUCCCACCCUUGAAUAUUAUACCUUCGUUGCUUUGGCAGGCCGUGGAAACACCAGAGGCUCCGGCUGAUGCGUGCCUGCCAGAGGAAACAAACUCUGUUUUUAGUGAUGUCUGAGUACUAUAUAAUAGUUAAAACUUUCAACAACGGAUCUCUUGGUUCUGGCAUCGAUGAAGAACGCAGCGAAAUGCGAUAAGUAAUGUGAAUUGCAGAAUUCAGUGAAUCAUCGAAUCUUUGAACGCACAUUGCGCCCCGUGGUAUUCCGCGGGGCAUGCCUGUUCGAGCGUCAUUUCAACCCAUCAAGCUUCGGCUUGGUCUUGGGGCCUGCGGUUUCGCAGCCUCUAAACCCAGUGGCGGUGCUAUUGAGCUCUGAGCGUAGUAAUUUCUCUCGCUAUAGAGUCUCGGUGGUGACUUGCCAACAACCCCCAAUUUUUAUCAGGUUGACCUCGGAUCAGGUAGGGAUACCCGCUGAACUUAA
rnacentral:rRNA from 1 species